rnacentral:rRNA from 1 species
GAUGAACGCUGGCGGCGUGCCUAAUACAUGCAAGUCGAGCGAACAGACGAGGAGCUUGCUCCUCUGACGUUAGCGGCGGACGGGUGAGUAACACGUGGAUAACCUACCUAUAAGACUUGGAUAACUUCGGGAAACCGGAGCUACUACCGGAUAAUAUAUUGAACCGCAUGGUUCAAUAGUGAAAGACGGGUUUGCUGUCACUUAUAGAUGGAUCCGCGCCGCAUUAGCUAGUUGGUAAGGUAACGGCUUACCAAGGCAACGAUGCGUAGCCGACCUGAGAGGGUGAAGGGGCACACUGGAGCUGAGAGACGGUCCAGACUCCUAGGGGAGGCAGAAGUAGGGAAUGUUCCGCGAUGGGCGAAAGCUUGACGGAGCAACGCCGCGUGAGUGAUGAAGGUCUUCGGAUCGUAUAACUCUGUUCUUAGGGAAGAACAAAUGUGUAAGUAACUAUGCACGUCUUGACGGUACCUAGUCAGAAAGCCCCGGCUAACUACGUG